rnacentral:rRNA from 1 species
AGGAUGAACGCUGGCGGCGUGCCUAACACAUGCAAGUCGAACGUCCUGUCUCGCAAGAGGCAGGGAGUGGCGGACGGGUGAGUACCACGUGGGUCAUCUACCGUGAGGUGAGGAAUACCGGCGAGAAAUCGCCGACAAGACCGCAUAGCCUCGGUGCAAGUCGAGGAAAGCUCUCUCGAGAGAGGGAGCGCCACACGAGGAGCCUGCGCCCGAUUAGCUAGCUGGUGGAGUAAUGGUUCACCAGGGCGACGAUCGGUAGCUGGUCUGAGAGGACGAUCAGCCACACUGGGAUUGAGAACGGCCCAGACUCCUACGGGGGCAGCAGUGAGGAAUUUUCGUCAAUGGGGGCAACCCUGAACGAGCAACGCCGCGUGCAGGAAGAAGGUUUCGGAUCGUAAACUGCUUUUCGUCGGGGAAGAGAACGGACGGUACCCGAGGAAUCAGCCCGGCUAACGUACGCGCCAGCAGCCGCGGU